AGCCUUUAUUGGCAUACAAAACAGGCUAAGAUCAUGUGUAGUAUCUGUUCUUAUCAGUUUAAUAUCUGAUACGUCCUCUAUUUGAGGACUAUGUAUUAAAUGGAUUUUUGGGUGUAUAGGUGCAUAAUGUUUGUAUAGAUAUAAAAAGGCAACUAAGCUAGAAUCUUCCAGUCUGACCCCAC